GACGUAGGGCGCGAGCGUUGUCCGGAUUUAUUGGGCGUAAAGAGCUCGUAGGCGGCUUGUCGCGUCGACUGUGAAAACCCGCGGCUCAACUGCGGGCCUGCAGCCGAUACGGGCAGGCUAGAGUUCGGUAGGGGAGACUGGAAUUCCGGGUGUAGUGGUGGAAUGCGUAGAGAUCCGGAGGAACACCAGCGGCGAAGGCGGCAUCCUGGACUGGUCCUGACACUCAUGAGCGAGAGCGUGGGGAGCGAUCCGG
rnacentral:rRNA from 1 species